UUGCUCUUCAACGAGGAAUUCCUAGUAAACGCGAGUCAUCAGCUCGCAUUGAUUACGUCCCUGCCCUUUGUACACACCGCCCGUCGCUCCUACCGAUUGAAUGGUCCGGUGAAGUGUUUGGAUGGUGGCGAUAGAGGUGGUUCGCCGCCUGUGGCGUCGCGAGAAGUCCACUGAACCUUAUCAUUUAGAGGAAGGAGAAGUCGUAACAAGGUUUCCGUAGGUGAACCUGCGGAAGGAUCAUUGUAGAGUUCCUUCUCGAACAACUGUGAAAUUGUACUCAUACCCGUCGAGAACUACGUAUUUGUGCGGUUAGCACUUGCGUUGUUUGGAUGGGUUUCAUUUGCUGCCUUCAUGUUUGCUUCAAUUGAAGUAAGAUGUAGAGUAGAACUAAGAAACCGGCACGGUUUGUGCCAAGGACAGUUGUUGUUGGAGAGCUUGCCAUCAUUUUGAUGUGCUUCGUGUUAUUCCAGUGAGCGUCUGAAUGACUCCUGGCAAUGGAUAUCUUGGCUCUCGUGUCGAUGAAGAACGUAGCGAAAUGCGACACUUGGUGUGAAUUGCAGAAUCCCGUGAACCAUCGAGUCUUUGAAUGCAAGUUGCGCUCGAGGCCAUUAGGUUGAGAGCACGUCUGUUUGGGCGUCAUGCCUUGCGUCAUUCUAACCAUCCACCUACUGUAAACAUACUGUGAGUGAUGGCGGAUGUGGAGAUUGACCCUCCGUGCCUUAAUUGUGCGGUUGGUUUAAGUGAAUGUUGUCGUUAGGUCUACGCGCGGCGAAUGGUGUAUCGAGUUAACACACGAUGUCUCUAACUGCGUCCAGGAGUCCUACGAACGAUGUAACAAUAACUGAAACCAUUUUCGACGUUUGCCUUAGUUGCAAGCUCGGAACAUGACCUCAGAUCAGGUGGGGCAACCCGCUGAGUUUAAGCAUAUCAAUAAGCGGAGGA
rnacentral:rRNA from 1 species